GAUGAACGCUGGCGGCGUGCUUAACACAUGCAAGUCGAACGGAAAGACCCUGCUUUUGUGGGGUGCUCGAUUGGCGAACGCGUGAGUAACACGUGAGUAACCUGCCCUUGUCUUUGGGGUAACUUCAGGAAACUGGGGCUAAUAUCGGAUAGGAGCUCCUGCUCCAUGGUGGGCGUUGGAAAGUUUCGGCUGUUGGGGAUGGACUCGCGGCUUAUGAGCUUGUUGGUGGGGUAGUUGCAUACCAAGGCUGUGACGGGUAGCCGGCCUGGGAGGGGGGCCGGGGUCAAGGCGACUAAGAGACGGACCAGUCUCCAACGUGAGGCAACAGUCGGAAGCAUGGCACAGUGAGCCCGAGCGUGAUACGGAGGCGCCGGGUUCGUGAUGCCGGCUUUUUGGGUAAGAACCGCUUUCGCCUGAGACGAAGCGGUAGUGACGGUAAUGGGUAAAGAAGCACCGGCUAACUACGUG
rnacentral:rRNA from 1 species